GCUCCUGGAGCGGCCGAUAUCUGAUUAGCUAGUUGGUGAGGUAAAGGCUCACCAAGGCGACGAUCAGUAGCUGGUCUGAGAGGACGACCAGCCACACUGGAACUGAGACACGGUCCAGACUCCUACGGGAGGCAGCAGUGGGGAAUUUUGGACAAUGGGGGCAACCCUGAUCCAGCAAUGCCGCGUGAGUGAAGAAGGCCUUCGGGUUGUAAAGCUCUUUUGUCAGGGAAGAAAAGGGUACGGCUAAUAUCCGUGCCUCAUGACGGUACCUGAAGAAUAAGCACCGGCUAACUACGUGCCAGCAGCCGCGGUAAUACGUAGGGUGCAAGCGUUAAUCGGAAUUACUGGGCGUAAAGCGUGCGCAGGCGGUUUUGUAAGUCUGACGUGAAAUCCCCGGGCUUAACCUGGGAAUGGCGUUGGAGACUGCAAGGCUGGAAUCUGGCAGAGGGGGGUAGAAUUCCACGUGUAGCAGUGAAAUGCGUAGAGAUGUGGAGGAACACCGAUGGCGAAGGCAGCCCCCUGGGCUAAGAUUGACGCUCAUGCACGAAAGCGUGGGGAGCAAACAGGAUUAGAUACCCUGGUAGUCCACGCCCUAAACGAUGUCUACUAGUUGUUGGGUCUUAAUUGACUUAGUAACGCAGCUAACGCGUGAAGUAGACCGCCUGGGGAGUACGGUCGCAAGAUUAAAACUCAAAGGAAU
rnacentral:rRNA from 1 species